GCCGCGGUAAUUCCAGCUUCAGCAGCAUCUAUUAAAGUUGCUGCGGUUAAAAGGCUCGCAGUUGAAUGUCUGUAUCGAGCGCAGGUCAGGUGGACGUUGGGGCGUGGAAGUACGGGCAGUUGGAUGUCCGGGGGGCCUCGUGCUCAACGGCUCCUUCGGCUUUUCCACACACCCCCGUCCCUUACAAGCCUCCUCGCUCGGGUACAUAACGGGAAUCGGUCAAACGGAGUGUGGUCUUGGGAGUUGGGGCGUGCGUGGCUUCGCGGUUGCGUGCGUUCUUUCUUUCGGGGCUGCGUCAAGCUCCAUCGGUUUCACGGUCACCUUGAGUAAAUCAGAGUGCUCAAAGCAGUCGUAGGGGCCUUGCGCCCUGUGAACAGUCUUGACGGACUGACUUGGUUUUGCAUGGCAUGUCGGAAGACGACGUCGUGUGCUGGCUCAGAGGAUAAAUCAGUGGUACAAGCCAGCCUCGACGUAAUGAUUAAAAGGGACGGUCGAGGGCAUUGGUAUUGCGAGGCGAGAGGUGAAAUUCUGUGACCCCCGCAAGACCUCCUGAAGCGAAAGCGUCUGCCAAGGACGUUUUCAUUAAUCAUGAACGAAAGUUAGAGGAUCGAAGGCGAUCAGAUACCGCCCUAGUUCUAACCCUAAACGAUGCCAACCAUCAAUCCGCGCGUAGCACCCUUCUUAACGGGCUCGGCGGGCAGCUCCCCACUCACGGGAAACCAGAGCCUCUGGGUUCCGGGGGGAGUCUGGUUGCAAAGCUGAAACUUAAAGGAAUUGACGGAAAGGCACCACCAGGCGUGGAGCCUGCGGCUUAAUUUGACUCAACACGGGCCAUCUCACCAGGCCAGCACUCUUGUACGAUUGACAGAUUGAGAGCUCUUUCUCGAUUCAGUGGAUGGUGGUGCAUGGCCGUUCUUAGUUGGUGGAGUGAUCUGUCUGGUUAAUUCCGAUAACGAACGAGACUCUCCCCUGCUAACUAGUCGGUUGGAUCUUGAUCAGUGGGUUGAGUGCCGAGUAACUCUCGCUGUGCGUGUUGUGCGUUUCGUUCCUCACGGUUCGUUGCGUGCUCAUGUGUGGCGUUGGAUGCCUUGGAUCACACUGCACCCCAAGUCCGCCGCUUUGCUAUAACUCUUCUUAGAGGGAUUCACGGCACUGAAGCCGUAAGAGACUGAGAGCAAUAACAGGUCUGUGAUGCCCUUAGAUGCUCUGGGCCGCACGCGCGCUACAAUGCCGGGCACAGCAGGUGUUUCUCCUGCUCCGACAGGAGCGGGUAACCCUCUGAAAGCCAGUGUUCUUGCAAGUGCUUCCUCCCUCGUGGAGUUGCACAGAGGCGUGCUUGGGCCUGGGACUUGCAAUUCUUUCCCACCAACGAGGAAUGCCUAGUAGCGGCGGGUCACUGAGCCCGCUGUGACUCAGUCCCUGCCCUUUGUACACACCGCCCGUCGCUACUACCGAUUGGGUGUACCAGUGAGAGCCUUGGACUGGCGUCCGUUGUUGCUCGCAAGAGUGACAAGCGGGUCCGACGGAAAGAGGUCCGAACUGGUGCACUUAGAGGAAGUAAAAGUCGUAACAAGGUUUCCGUAGGUGAACCUGCGGAAG
rnacentral:rRNA from 1 species